rnacentral:tRNA from 1 species
GCCUCCUUAGCUCAGUGGUAGAGCACCCGCCUUGUAAGCGGGAGCGCGUCGGUUCGAUCCCGACAGGGGGCUCCA